GGCAUUAAAUUAUCAAAAAUCAGAUGGCUGAAAAUACACCUUUAGAGACCAACUUUUCCUACUUCCUUCUUUGCGGCAUCCUUUUUCAUCUCUGAAGACUUCUUUCUCUCCUCAGGCUUCUGCCAGCUAACCAACUUUGUAUCCUACAAAGGUACCACUUACUGUCUACCUGAUAAGUGAUGCAAUAGGCGGCGAGUUGAGCUCUGUAACUGAGCAAGAAAUUGAAUACGCUGCUAUCCGUGAAACUGCUGGCCAGACUUGACAGAUGACCUCUUGGAAGCCCAUCUUUGAAGUAUGAAAUAUAUUUAAAACUGCUUCCUGAUACUGCCAUCAAAACUUUCAAAGAAAACCUUGCUUACCAGGUAAUGCAGGUGCAGUUCUUAGGAUAACGACAAAUACAUGGGCACUUAGGGAUGGGAUGGGAUGCAGAAAGCCACAGUGAUUCUCUGCACUUAACUCUGCCUUCUACUGCAUAGAA